rnacentral:rRNA from 1 species
AGAGUUUGAUCCUGGCUCAGGAUGAACGCUGGCGGCGUGCCUAACACAUGCAAGUCGAGCGAUUCUCUUCGGAGAAGAGCGGCGGACGGGUGAGUAACGCGUGGGUAACCUGCCCUGUACACACGGAUAACAUACCGAAAGGUAUGCUAAUACGAGAUAAUAUACUUUUAUCGCAUGGUAGAAGUAUCAAAGCUUUUGCGGUACAGGAUGGACCCGCGUCUGAUUAGCUAGUUGGUAAGGUAACGGCUUACCAAGGCGACGAUCAGUAGCCGACCUGAGAGGGUGAUCGGCCACAUUGGAACUGAGACACGGUCCAAACUCCUACGGGAGGCAGCAGUGGGGAAUAUUGCACAAUGGGCGAAAGCCUGAUGCAGCAACGCCGCGUGAGCGAUGAAGGCCUUCGGGUCGUAAAGCUCUGUCCUCAAGGAAGAUAAUGACGGUACUUGAGGAGGAAGCCCCGGCUAACUACGUGCCAGCAGCCGCGGUAAUACGUAGGGGGCUAGCGUUAUCCGGAAUUACUGGGCGUAAAGGGUGCGUAGGUGGUUUCUUAAGUCAGAGGUGAAAGGCUACGGCUCAACCGUAGUAAGCCUUUGAAACUGGGAAACUUGAGUGCAGGAGAGGAGAGUGGAAUUCCUAGUGUAGCGGUGAAAUGCGUAGAUAUUAGGAGGAACACCAGUUGCGAAGGCGGCUCUCUGGACUGUAACUGACACUGAGGCACGAAAGCGUGGGGAGCAAACAGGAUUAGAUACCCUGGUAGUCCACGCCGU